UGGGCCCGAUGAGAGUUCCGGAUCGUGACAUCUUGAUUGAGUUAAUCAUCAAAGAACACAAACAAAGACAUCUAAAACACAUAAGCCAUACAAGUAUUAUUCUUAACACCCCUCCUUAAUGCUUGUAUUCUUCACCAUAAACAUUUCUCAAUUACGUUCAAACUUAACCCUAAAGAAAGGCUUAGUCAUAAUGUUAGCAGCUUGAUCAUCAGAUAAGUAAUAUUGUACGAGAAUUUCACCUUUCUUUUGUUCAUCCCUCAAUGCAUGAUAUUUUACAUGAAUGAGUUUAGUUCUCCCAUGGAAGACUAGAUUUUAAGCUAUUGAUAUUGCAGAUUUGUUGUCAACAAACACCUUGGUAGGAUUCAUCAACGACAUUGUAAGAUCAAAGUAGAACUUUUCUCAACCAUAUUUCUUGGUUUGCAACUGCUACAUACUCUGCUUUUACUGAGGAAUAUGCCACUGAUUCUUGCUUAUGUGAAUUCCAGGAAAACACUCCAUUCCCAAGAGUAAAUACAUAUCCAAGAGGUAAUUCUGGAAUCAUCAAUGCUACCUCCCCAAUCACUAUCAAAAGAUCCCACAAGCUCAACUAUUUCAACUAGUAUGAAUGUGACACCAUAGCUUGUUGUACCUUUUAGAUACCUCAAAAUCAUUUUGGUUGUUAUAAGAUGUGAUUAACAUGGUUGUUGCAUGAAUCAUGACAAGUAACUAAUGACAACCACAAGUUCUAGUCGAGUUGAGCAUAUAUAGAAAAGGCAACUUAUUGGGCUUCUAUAUUCAUUGGGAUUGUAUAGCUUGUUACCUGAGUCAACUGAGAGUUUUUGCUUUGCAUUCAGAAGAGUUUCGGUUGUCUUACAAUUACUUAUGUUGAUUCGUUUCAAAACCUUUGCUAUAUAGUUCUAUUGAGUCCAAUGACUACCAUUCUUGAUAUGUGACACUUCAAGCCCUAAAAAGUAAGUCAUCAAGUCCAAAUCUGACAUGUUAAAUUCUUUCUCUAUCACUGCUUUAAGUUUAGCGAAACCAUUUUCGUUUGCACCUAUUAUCAAAAGAUCAUUGACACAUAAUGAUACAAUUAAAGAAUUGGCAGUACCCCAUCCAUCACAUACAAUGUGGCCUCAUUCAAACUUUUGUGGAACCUUUGAUUCUGUAAAUAGGAGUCAAUCCUACUAUACCAUGCACAUGGUGCCUGUUUCAACCCAUAUAAAGCUUUAUGUAGCAUAUACUCCUUGUCUUUAUCAGCUUCCACUUCAAAUCACAUUAGUUGUUCUACAUAUAUCUCUUUGUUUAGUCUGCCAUUUAAAAAUACAGACUUAACAUUUAGAUGAAAGGCUUUUCAACCAUGAGUUGCUGACAGUGCCAAGAAAAGUCUGGUGGUAUCCAAUCUUGCUACAAUAGCAAAAGUAUCAAAAUAAUCCACUCCUAGCAUUUGAGAAAAUACCCUUUGCAAUGAGUCUCACUUUGCAUUUAUUUAAGGAACCAUCUACAUUCAUCUUUUUCUUAAAGAUCCAUUUCACGCCAAUCACUUGUUUAUGUUUUGGUUGAUUUACAAGAGUCUAAGUCUUGUUCUUCUUAAUCAUUGCAAUUUCUUUUCUCAUGGUUGAUCUCCAUUCCUUAUGAAGUACAGCUUCAUCAAAAAAGGCAGGUUCUGCUAUUGCAACUUGAUAUCUGUUGUACAUGUCUUGAAUAAAGCAAGAACCUCGUAUAGGAGUUUCAUCAGUAACCUCAUCAAGAUCAAGUUCACCACUAUCAUCAUUCUGAAUGUAAACAGCAGCAUUUAAUUCUUUGAUUUGCUUCUCAUUCCAAUAUCAGCUGGUUCUUCAUCGAAUGUGACAUCUUUGCUGAUGCGAAUCUUGCCAGAGUCAAUUCAAUAUAUGCGGUAGGCUUUUGAUUGUAGAAUGUACCUUACAAAUAUUCCUUUCACCAUCUUAGACUAUAAUUUAUCUCUUAACAUAUUAGGGACAUAUUGAUAACAAAUGCACCCAAAAACGCGCAGGUGACUUACAGAUGGCUUUCUUUCAAUCCAUGCUUUGUAUGGAGUCAUAAUUUUUAAGGCUCUUCUGGGACAAAUGUUCAGCAAAUAUACAAUCGUAUUGGUUGCUUCCGCCCAAAAGCUUUUUGUAGCUCUUUUUUAAAUAACAAACACUUGGUCAUUUUUAUUAUAGUUCUAUUUUUC
rnacentral:lncRNA from 1 species